AUCACCUGGGGAAAUUGCUAAAGUGCAGACUCUGACUCAGUAUGUUUAGGGACGGGCCUCAGAUUCUGCAUUUGUAACAAGCUCUGAAGUGAUGCUCA
rnacentral:pre_miRNA from 1 species